ensembl:lncRNA
GCAGAAGUCUCUCGGUCUCCAGAGGUGCCCUUGUGUGAGAUCAGUUCGUGGCGGUAGGAGGUGGGAUUGGUGGGGUGGUUUUGCCAGGAUGGAGUAUGGGGGUUUAUGUGUCUUCCUUCUACGAUGCCUGGCAUGCUGAAGUCUCAACGGUCCUGAAGAAAACUGAGACCUGAGCAUCACAGCAGCAGUGAGAUGUCUGGGAAGAUAUCCAAAAGCCAUCCUUCUUCUUCCAGAUUCCUGCAACUGUUGCUUUUGUGCUACUCUCUGCUGCAAGGGAGUAUAGACAGUGUAUCUCCUCCAGAUAUUCAGGUUGAAAUCCCUCAUCAGGAUGAGAGCUUCUGACGAUGAUGCUUGUAGUUGAAGCAAGAAGUUCUUGUCAGCGGGAUUCCCUUGAUCAGGCAGCCUAUAGCAGGCCACGACCACCAGAAAAACCCUGCUUCUCUUUCCCUUCUAAAAAACACAUAGCCCUUGUUUGCAGUGUUCCAGUUGUGUGAUUGUCAUACCUACGUGCCAUGGUCUAUAAUGUUUUUAAAGAAAUGAAGAUGCUUAAGGAGAGCACCUAGAUGGUCCACAGAAAUCCUGGGAUGGACAGCUGCUCAAGAUGAUGAUUCACCUGAACCCAAAUACACAUUUCUUUUAGGCUGGGAUGUACUGUGUCUGGAGAUGCUGAAAACAGGCACAAUUAAGAGAGCUUACCCCACUGUACACUGUGAUGACUUUCCAGACUUUCAGGAGAGAAAACUUCCAGGCAGGAGCAGAACUAAACCACAUCUUCACCUCUAGUUCCCUGUAUGUAAAGACCUACUGGCUACAUCACAAUACUCCAGAAUAUCUUGAGCAAAUACUGCACUCUCCUCUAAUCUUCAGGAUAAAGCCAUGAUUUUCCUGGUGCCUGGGAAU